CGUUCCCGGACCUUGUACACACCGCCCGUCAAGCCAUGGAAGCCGGGAGGACCUGAAAGGCAGUUGCUGCAAGGCGCUGUUUAGGGUUAAACUGGUGACUGGGGCU
rnacentral:rRNA from 1 species